rnacentral:rRNA from 1 species
UGCGAAGGGUGCAAGCGUUAAUCGGAAUUACUGGGCGUAAAGGGUGCGUAGGCGGUUCGUUAAGUCUGUUGUGAAAUCCCCGGGCUCAACCUGGGAAUGGCAAUGGAUACUGGCGAGCUAGAGUGUGAUAGAGGAUGGUGGAAUUCCCGGUGUAGCGGUGAAAUGCGUAGAGAUCGGGAGGAACAUCAGUGGCGAAGGCGGCCAUCUGGAUCAACACUGACGCUGAAGCACGAAAGCGUGGGGAGCAAACAGG